GUUUGAUCAUGGCUCAGAGCGAACGCUGGCGGCGUGCUUAACACAUGCAAGUCGAACGUGAAAUGUAGCAAUACAGAGUAAAGUGGCGUACGGGUGAGUAACACGUGGGUAAUCUACCAAAGAGUCUGGAAUAACCGGCCGAAAGGCUGGCUAAUACUAGAUAGUUCAAGCGCACUGUAGAGGUGUGAUUGGGAAAGGGAGCCGGCAACGGCCUUCGCUCUUUGAUGAGCCCGCGUCUGAUUAGCUAGUUGGUGAGGUAACGGCUCACCAAGGCGAUGAUCAGUAGCUGGUCUGAGAGGAUGAUCAGCCACACUGGAACUGAAACACGGUCCAGACUCCUACGGGAGGCAGCAGUGGGGAAUCUUGCGCAAUGGACGAAAGUCUGACGCAGCCACGCCGCGUGAGUGAAGAAGGCCUUCGGGUUGUAAAGCUCUGUCGGAGGGGACAAAAACUAUUCAGGUUAAUAGCCUGAGUACUUGAUGGUACCCUUAAAGGAAGCACCGGCUAACUUCGUGCCAGCAGCCGCGGUAAUACGAAGGGUGCAAGCGUUGCUCGGAAUUAUUGGGCGUAAAGGGUAGGUAGGUGGUUACGUAUGUCUGGGNUGAAAUCCCUGAGCUCAACUCAGGAAGUGCCUGGAAAACGGCGUAACUAGAGUGCUAGAGAGGUUCGUAGAAUCCCCAGUGUAGCGGUGAAAUGCGUAGAGAUUGGGAGGAAUACCAGAGGCGAAGGCGGCGAACUGGAUAGCAACUGACACUAAACUACGAAAGCGUGGGGAGCAAACAGGAUUAGAUACCCUGGUAGUCCACGCUGUAAACGAUGGGUACUAGAGAUUGUGGGAGUUGACCCCUGCAGUCUCGGAGCUAACGCGAUAAGUACCCCGCCUGGGAAGUACGGUCGCAAGACUAAAACUCAAAGGAAUUGACGGGAGCCCGCACAAGCGGUGGAUUAUGUGGUUUAAUUCGAAGCAACGCGCAGAACCUUACCUAGGUUUGACAUCCUUUGACAACUGCAGAGAUGUAGCUUUCGUAGCAAUACGACAAAGAGACAGGUGCUGCAUGGCUGUCGUCAGCUCGUGUGGUGGCAUGUCGGGUUAAGUCCCUCAACGAGCGCAACCCCUGUGUUUAGUUGCCAGCAUUAAGUUGGGCACUCUAGACAGACUGCCGUGGUUAACACGGAGGAAGGCGGGGAUGACGUCAAGUCCUCAUGGCCCUUACACCUAGGGCGACACACGUAAUACAAUGGUCGAUACAGAGGGAUGCGAAAUGGUGACAUGGAGCAAAUCUCAAAAAGUCGAUCUCAGUUCGGAUUGGAGUCCGCAACUCGACUCCAUGAAGGCGGAAUCGCUAGUAAUCGCGGAUCAGCACGCCGCGGUGAAUACGUUCCCGGGCUUUGUACACACCGCCCGUCACACCAUGGGAGCUGACUCAACCAGAAGACGAUCAGGAUAACCGCAAGGGGUCCUUCGGCGAAGGUGGGGUUGGUGACUGGGGUGAAGUCGUAACAAGGUAGCCGUAGGGGAA
rnacentral:rRNA from 1 species